AGCUGUCAGCGGCAGCCGAGGCUAGCGCGGGACGUCGCCACCCUAGCGCCAGGCCGGAGCUAGCAGCCGCGGAGCCGCGGAGAGCGGAGGGGGCGGCGGGGCCGGGCGUGGCGGGUCCCCUCGCCGCCCACUGCGCGCUCGAACCCUGGGCCCCGCGAGCGGCGGGCGGCACCCGCUGUAAUGCGGAGAAUCCUCCGGCACCCACAGGCCCUGAGGCUCCAGUGCCCACAGGCAGAGAGGGCGACUGAGUCCAGCCCAGGCUGAGCCCUGCCCAGCUGUACUCCCCAGACACCCACCCAACCCGAGGUGUCCCACCGAGGAGGCCCUGAUCUUGAGCCCGGAGCCCUGAGCCCUGAGACGAUGCUUGAGGAUCUUAUGACCAUGACCUGGCUACCUUGAGUCUGUGGGGCUACACAGCCUUCAGCCUGCAUCUCCAGGGCUCUGACUCUAUCCAGCUCCUGGACCAGCUCCCAAGUCUACUCCUGACCCCAGCCUGGGCCAAGGGGACUUCUCAAGCUUUGGGACCCAGCAGGACACAGCAGCAGUCAGGUGCAUGCUGGGACCGCGAC
rnacentral:ncRNA from 2 species